rnacentral:rRNA from 1 species
AACGAACGCUGGCGGCAUGCCUAACACAUGCAAGUCGAACGAGACCUUCGGGUCUAGUGGCGCACGGGUGCGUAACGCGUGGGAACCUGCCCUUAGGUUCGGAAUAACUCCCCGAAAGGGGUGCUAAUACCGGAUAAUGUCUUCGGACCAAAGAUUUAUCGCCUUUGGAUGGGCCCGCGUUGGAUUAGCUAGUUGGUAGGGUAAAAGCCUACCAAGGCGACGAUCCAUAGCUGGUCUGAGAGGAUGAUCAGCCACGCUGGGACUGAGACACGGCCCAGACUCCUACGGGAGGCAGCAGUGGGGAAUAUUGGACAAUGGGCGAAAGACUGAUCCAGCAAUGCCGCGUGAGUGAUGAAGGCCUUAGGGUUGUAAAGCUCUUUUACCCGGGAUGAUAAUGACAGUACCGGGAGAAUAAGCUCCGGCUAACUCCGUG